GGGUGCUGAGGGAGGUUAUGCACACAUGGCACAUAGCACAAUGCCUGGCUUACACUAUGGAGUGAGCGUCUAGUAAUUGCCAUUACUGUGGCUGACAUCGUGAUGGUGGUGUCCUGCAUUCUGAUUCCAGGGAUAAUGUCUCCAUCAUCAGCUCCCAGCCUGAUGGCAAUCUGCAGUCUUGGUUGAGCUGUACCCUGUCGAUGGCUACAGACACCAUGCGGACACCCUCUCGACAGUCAGCUACCAGCAGCUGCAUCCGCAGCUCCAGCCUCCUGAAAUGCCGCUGCCCUUGGAGACCUCCAGACUCCACAGCUGUUUGGAGAGAGACUGGCCAGGCCUCCCCAGUGCCCUCAGUGUGGAUUCAGCAUCACAGCCACCCUCAAGAGCCAGAUGGACCCAGAGAGCCAUAUCCUGCUAGGGCUUUGGGGCUCCCUGUAUGCUUGGUCUGUACGAAAUAAAGUUGGUUUCCUUGGCAUCCUUUCUGCUGACCACGGUCACCCAUGGUCAUCCAUCCCUGACCAUGCCACCUGGGGUGCUGGAAGAUUGAUGGGGUGCACUAGGGUAUAAGGGUCCUCAAGAGUGGAAUCAGCCCAGCCUGUCAGGCAGGGUAGACACUGCCAUCGUUCUCCCCGUGUGUGUAUAUGCAGUAGCCUUCCUCUUUCUCUUCACCCAGCCACUUGAGCUGGAGCGUGGCCUCCUCCAGAAAGUCUUGCCAGAUCACCAAACUGAAAUAGAUGCUCAUUCUCCAUGCUCCUUGAAUCCCUUCCUCAGCUCUUUUGUUUUCCCCUAUUUAUGCAUUUACAUUGUGUGUGCAAAAAUUUGUGUGAGCAUGUAAGAAACUGAUGAAUGAAUGAAUCAAUGAGCCAGUGAACAAAUAAAUGAGCCCAUGCAGCCUGAAGGCAUGGGGCACAUUGAUUUUUUAUCUCUAUAAAUGUGCACUCACAUCAACAUUCGAGAACCUGUGAUCACCCACACAGCCCUCCAUCCACCUCCUCAUACACAGAGCCCUACCACCCCCACCCCCACUCACACAUUUAAACAUACACUGGCACCAGAAACUACAUCCCAGCACAUCUUCCAACUUGUGGUGUAGAAAUCUGUUUCUUCAAACAUCUUUGAAGUAUUCAUGAUAAUAAAACUAUCAACUAAUGUUUUUUGAUCAUGUA
rnacentral:lncRNA from 1 species